rnacentral:rRNA from 1 species
AGAACGAACGCUGGCGGCAUGCCUAAUACAUGCAAGUCGAACGAACACUUCGGUGUUAGUGGCGCACGGGUGCGUAACGCGUGGGAAUCUGCCCUUGGGUUCGGAAUAACAGUUGGAAACGACUGCUAAUACCGGAUGAUGACGAAAGUCCAAAGAUUUAUCGCCCAGGGAUGAGCCCGCGUAGGAUUAGCUAGUUGGUGAGGUAAAGGCUCACCAAGGCGACGAUCCUUAGCUGGUCUGAGAGGAUGAUCAGCCACACUGGGGACUGAGACACGGCCCAGACUCCGUACGGGAGGCAGCAGUAGGGAAUA